AGACCAUCUUCUCUCCGAAGCCCAUGCUAUGCCCCUCACACCCAUUCCCCAGCGCCUGGCCAGUUGUGGGCGCUCAAUAAAUAUUAAACAACCAAAGCACGAAGUAUUGUCAAAAAGUUUAGAAUUCACAGGAAUCUAUAAUAUUAUCAUAAUUUAACAUUUAUUGAGGGUCAACAGCAUGACUUAGUCAACAUAUGCAAAUAAGUUAUUUUAAAAAUACAUAUUAAGCAAAUAAUUAAAUACAAUUGUGUUAACUAAAUCUUCUGUUUUACUUCAUUGAUUUUAAAUGUAAAAUUGUUUCUGUCUUUUUUUAUAACUUUGGUACACCAAGAAAUAUGAACAUUCAUUAUAUUCAAAUGGAUAAAGUUUUCUCAGGGAAAUCAUUACUCUUAGAUAUUAUUAGCAUUCACUUGAAAGUAUGGAAUAAAUCUACAAUCAGUACACAUCACAGAUUUUAAAAAGACCAGUGCAUACACAAAGAAGAGAAGAAUCUGAUAAGGUGGAUGAGGACAGUGAUAGAUUUACAAAGCUUGCAAUAGCACUUGGGUUUUGCCUGGUGUUGUGACAACGUAAAACACUAUUACAAUUAUGUAGGGAACCAUUGUUUACAGAAUAGCAUCAAAAGCAAAGAAAGAAACUCUUCAAGUGGACACAAAUUAGCCCAUUUAUGAAUUUUGAAACAUUCCUUAAUUUAAGGCAAAGUUGAAUAUUUUAUUAUAGUGAACUCUGAUACAUUUAUGAUCAACAGGCUCCAACUUUAUACUUAAUAAAAUGUUUACUAACUGUGUUAAAAUUUAUUCUUGAUGGUUAGUAGACAAAUCUUAUUUAAUUACCUAAAAAUAUUUUUGUCGUGUUUCUUCUUAACUGACUGUCGAAGUGAUUUUUAAUUCUUAAGAGAACUGAAUACUACAUUAUUCUGUAAUAAAACUUUCAACUUAAUUUUGAGAUACUGGAAUAUCCAUAGUAUUUAAGUCCAGAGAUUCAAUAUGCACAAUUAUACUCAGAUCACAAAGUGUACUUAAACUCUAUUAAGAGUAACAAAAAUCAUAUAAUUUUUCUAAAUAAAGUCCACAUGUUUAAACAAAUAAAUAAAAUAAAUAUUUAAAGAGAAUUUAACUAUAUUUCAAUGAAUUAUAAACUAAUAGAUUAUUUAUACUUCUGAAGAUAACUAAAAACUAUGUAAGAAAGCAAAGUAUACAAGUCUUAAAGCAUUAUGCAUAACUAUUAGAAUAUGGGACAAUUUAUAGAAUGUCAUUAUUACUUCUCAUAUUACUUUAUUAAAAGCACAAAAUAUCUAUUUUUUGUAUCAGUUAUUAGUAAUAGAUAUACUAUCAUAAAAAUAUGCAAAAUAUCCAAAUAUAUUAUUUCCUAUGAUUGUUAUGAUUGAAAAAUAUGAGGCCAUUGUCAUACAAUAUUUAAAAUUGAAAUGAUUUACCAAGUCAAUAUAAAAAUAGCCAUUGAAAGAACCUCAUUUUUUUCACACAAUCCAAGAGCCUAAGCUUUAAUAAGAUAAAAGAAGAUUUUAGUAAACAAAAUUAUAAAAUCAUCUGAAGGAGUAAGAUCCUAUCUCUAAGAACCAUUUCCAGUCUCUUGUCCACUAGAGGAGACAUUAUAAAAUUAAUGAAACUGACACCAAUGUGAUGAUCAGAAGAAAGAAACAAUGUUUUCAAAUCAAUUGUCUGUUUGGUACUAUUAUUAGUGUGGGUGUUUUAUAUCUAGUCAAUCUUCUUUUGAUAUACUGUGGCUAUGAAAACAACCUAUGAAUAUCAUGAGUAAUCAGCACUUUUAUACUAGAGGGGGAAAGCUAUAAAACUCAAUGAAAUCAAAGUAAUUUGAUAAUUUAUGUCAUCUGUGUUGAAAUUGAUUUUAUAAGAAAAAAUGCCUAAGUAUCUGUUACAUGCUUAUCUAGAAGUUUACACAUUUUCAUAUCCUUUCACAUAUGUUUUCAUGUUUGCCCUAUACAACAUCUUCUCAGAUGGGCAGAUCAGGGAUAAUUACCUUUAUUUUUUAAAAAAAUAAAUUUAGACUCAGGAACACGCAUAAAUGAACACACUGAAAUUAGGAUCCAGUGCUCCCACUUUAUAUUUCAGAAACUAAAAUUCCACUCUUCUUCAAAAAGAAACCAACAGAAACAUCUACUGAACUGUAAAAUUUCAGAGUCCCCAGAAGCCAGAAUAAAUUGGAAAACAUUUUCCAUGCAAUUAUAAAGGGAUUUUAUUUUGAAAAGCCCAAGGAAAUAAAUUCUUAACCAAUCUUUUUACUUAACUGAAUUCUUAACCUUAGUUUACUUAUUUGACAUGUGAGGGAUUGAAGGAUUUUCUUGAUAUAUUUAUGUCAAAAGAUCUUAACUUCUGAUAUUAGGAUUUCAUACAUUUAAUUGCAUCUCAAAUUUGAAGGAGAAAUCAUUUAGACUUUGUUCUUGAUAAAAUUAUUGCAAGUUCUAAUUUAAUUUAUUACAAUAAAUAUAGUAUUAUUAUAUAAGAGCAAUGACAUGAGGGAACGACAAUUAAAAUUAUUAGCACACUUGAGCUCUAAGAGAAGCCACAUCACUUUAAAUGUUUUAAGUUUAGUGUACUGUAGCAUUUUUCUCAAGCAGAGUCUGGAGUGAUCUAUUUAUGAUAUAACUACAUAAAUACAAAUAAAAUGCAUUAACUAUUUUAUACCAUUAUGAUUUAUAACACUGAAAUUUCAGACCUCUUGGGAGAAUGGUUGAAGUCAUAAUAUAGUAUAUAUCAUAAUAUACUCUAUUUUUGCUGUUAUUUUCUUCAUUUUAACUUUUACAUAUUUUUUUUCAAGCAACAGAAAUAGUUUUUGCAUGUAUAGGAUUGGGCCAUCUUUAUUUUUCAAAUUAUAAUCAGUAAGGUGGUGUUAAAACCACAAAUCAAAUAGGAAUAUGUCUACCAGUUACCCUGGAUCAUUGUCUUAUUCCCAGCAAUCUUCAGCAUGUCCCCUGAUGUAAUUAAACAGUUUGGGGAGUUUCCCUGUUCGGAACUGAUAUUCAAAGUUCAGUUACACAAAAGAAAGACCAACCCAGAUUGCUGUCUCACAUUCUCCCUGGCACAGAAAAACAUGCAAGGACAGUGAUAAAGAGUAAUAGACUUAAAGGUUAUUGUCUUCCGCCUGUCUGAAUCCAGUGCUUUCCUCCGCAUGUUGUUGUCUUUCUAAAGAAGAUAAUGUCAACCUCCUUCAUUUUUUUUUACCUUGCUCCACUGUCUUGGUUGUUUUCUCUUCCUUCUUUCCAGGUACAGCUGC
rnacentral:lncRNA from 1 species